AAUAACUUGAAUGGAAAAAAAAAACAAAAUAAAACUAAUAGAUAUGUGGACUGCUGUGGAUGAAAUGGAAGAAGACAACAUCAAUUCUGUAACAUCCUUUGUCUUGGACUGGCCCAAAGUGAACUACCUGGUCACUUUAAGUUCUCCAGAGCAAAAGGACAAAUGGUUCUCUUUCCUUCAGAGAAACAGGGUCUAAUUAACUUGCUGGAGUUCUUUAUUAUUGAGACUGGACUCAAAGUUUUGGACCCACCUUAGCCUCCUGAGUCACUAGGAUUAAAGGCAUGUGUUACCACAUCUGACAGAAAGAACUCAGGUACAGCAAGUGAAGUUGUCAACAUGUAAUUACCAGUGCUAAGGAUAAAUGGCUCUGAGAAAGAUUGUCAGUUGUGAAUUGAUUCUGGAAAAGAAGUGGCACCAUACUCACUCAUUG